rnacentral:rRNA from 1 species
CCUACGGGGGGCAGCAGUGAGGAAUAUUGGUCAAUGGACGCGAGUCUGAACCAGCCAUGCAGCGUGCAGGAUGACGGCUCUAUGAGUUGUAAACUUCUUUUAUACGGGAGUAAACCCCGAUACGUGUAUCGUGUUGAAAGUAUCUUACGAAUAAGGAUCGGCUAACUCCGUGCCAGCAGCCGCGGUAAUACGGAGGAUCCGAGCGUUAUCCGGAUUUAUUGGGUUUAAAGGGUGCGUAGGCGGUUUGAUAAGUUAGAGGUGAAAUGUCGGGGCUCAACCCCGAAACUGCCUCUAAUACUGUUGGACUAGAGAAUAGUUGCGGUAGGCGGAAUGCAUGGUGUAGCGGUGAAAUGCUUAGAGAUCACACAGAACACCGAUUGCGAAGGCAGCUUACCAAACUAUAUCUGACGUUGAGGCACGAAAGCGUGGGUAGCAAACAGGAUUAGAUACCCCAGUAGUC